GGGCUUGGCUCGGAUGGAUGUAGGUUGGCGUGACUCCCCCCGCGCUCCCCUACCAUCCCCCCCCCACACUCCCUAUCUUCAUACUUACCCCUCUUACUCCUCUUUCCCUCUUUUCUUGCUUUUCUAUGUGAGAACUUAUCACAACUGAUCUAACACUUCCAUGCAAUAUGUAAAUACUUUGCACCACUAAAGGAUGUGGACAUGUGAAAGCAGGAGCAAACAGAUAGAAAAUCGAAUGAGCUCACGAAAAAGAUAUAUGGGAUCCGUACAUGACUGCAUAGGAACGGAUA